rnacentral:rRNA from 1 species
UGGCGGACGGGUGAGUAAUGUCUGGGAAACUGCCCGAUGGAGGGGGAUAACUACUGGAAACGGUAGCUAAUACCGCAUAACGUCGCAAGACCAAAGAGGGGGACCUUCGGGCCUCGCGCCAUCAGAUGAACCCAUAUGGGAUUAGCUAGUAGGUGGGGUAACGGCUCACCUAGGCGACGAUCCCUAGCUGGUCUGAGAGGAUGACCAGCCACACUGGAACUGAGACACGGCCCAG